CUUCAGUGAUGAGACGAUGACGAGUCAGACAGGACAAGCAAUGUAGUGUUUCCUGCACGGGGGCACGUUCUGUGUCGCUGGGCUUGGCUGCACUGCAUGAGAUUUGUCCUUCUUACUGAUCGAUAUUGAGGCAUUUGUCUGAGAAGG
ensembl:snoRNA SNORD15 Small nucleolar RNA SNORD15